CGGACGGGUGAGUAACGCGUGGGUAGCCUGCCCUGUACACACGGAUAACAUACCGAAAGGUAUACUAAUACGGGAUAACAUACGAAAGUCGAAUGGCUUUUGUAUCAAAGCUCCGGCGGUACAGGAUGGACCCGCGCCUGAUUAGCUAGUUGGCGAGGUAGUGGCUUACCAAGGCAACGAUCAGUAGCCGACCUGAGAGGGUGAUCGGCCACACUGGAACUGAGACACGGUCCAGACUCCUACGGGAGGCAGCAGUGGGGAAUAUUGCACAAUGGGCGAAAGCCUGAUGCAGCAACGCCGCGUGAGCGAUGAAGGCCUUCGGGUCGUAAAGCUCUGUCCUCAAGGAAGAUAAUGACGGUACUUGAGGAGGAAGCCCCGGCUAACUACGUGCCAGCAGCCGCGGUAAUACGUAGGGGGCUAGCGUUAUCCGGAAUUACUGGGCGUAAAGGGUGCGUAGGUGGGUUUUUUAAGUCAGAAGUGAAAGGCUACGGCUCAACCGUAGUAGGGCUUUUGAAACUAGAGAACUUGAGUGCAGGAGAGGAGAGUAGAAUUCCUAGUGUAGCGGGGAAAUGGCGUAGAUAUUAGGAGGGAAUACCAGUAGCGAAGGCGGGCUCUCUGGACUGUAACUGACACUGAGGCACGAAAGCGUGGGGAGGCAAACAGGGAUUAGAUACCCUGGUAGUCCCACGCCGUAAACGAUGAGUACUAGGUGUCGGGGGUUACCCCCCUCGGUGCCGCAGCUAACGCAUUAAGUACUCCGCCUGGGAAGUACGCUCGCAAGAGUGAAACUCAAAGGAAUUGACGGGGACCCGCACAAGUAGCGGAGCAUGUGGUUUAAUUCGAAGCAACGCGAAGAACCUUACCUAAGCUUGACAUCCCACUGACCUCUCCCUAAUCGGAGAUUUCCCUUCGGGGACAGUGGUGACAGGUGGUGCAUGGUUGUCGUCAGCUCGUGUCGUGAGAUGUUGGGUUAAGUCCCGCAACGAGCGCAACCCUUGCCUUUAGUUGCCAGCAUUAAGUUGGGCACUCUAGAGGGACUGCCGAGGAUAACUCGGAGGAAGGUGGGGAUGACGUCAAAUCAUCAUGCCCCUUAUGCUUAGGGCUACACACGUGCUACAAUGGGUGGUACAGAGGGUUGCCAAGCCGCGAGGUGGAGCUAAUCCCUUAAAGCCAUUCUCAGUUCGGAUUGUAGGCUGAAACUCGCCUACAUGAAGCUGGAGUUACUAGUAAUCGCAGAUCAGAAUGCUGCGGUGAAUGCGUUCCCGGGUCUUGUACACACCGCCCGUCACACCAUGGAAGUUGGGGGCGCCCGAAGCCGGUUAGCU
rnacentral:rRNA from 1 species